rnacentral:rRNA from 1 species
ACGGGUGAGUAACGCGUGGGAAUCUACCCAUCUCUACGGAAUAACGCAUGGAAACGUGUGCUAAUACCGUAUACGUCCUUCGGGAGAAAGAUUUAUCGGAGAUGGAUGAGCCCGCGUUGGAUUAGCUAGUUGGUGGGGUAAAGGCCUACCAAGGCGACGAUCCAUAGCUGGUCUGAGAGGAUGAUCAGCCACACUGGGACUGAGACACGGCCCAGACUCCUACGGGAGGCAGCAGUGGGGAAUAUUGGACAAUGGGCGCAAGCCUGAUCCAGCCAUGCCGCGUGAGUGAUGAAGGCCCUAGGGUUGUAAAGCUCUUUCACCGGUGAAGAUAAUGACGGUAACCGGAGAAGAAGCCCCGGCUAACUUCGUGCCAGCAGCCGCGGUAAUACGAAGGGGGCUAGCGUUGUUCGGAUUUACUGGGCGUAAAGCGCACGUGGGCGGACUAUUAAGUCAGGGGUGAAAUCCCGGGGCUCAACCCCGGAACUGCCUUUGAUACUGGUAGUCUUGAGUUCGAGAGAGGUGAGUGGAAUUCCGAGUGUAGAGGUGAAAUUCGUAGA